GAUGAAGAACGUAGCGAAAUGCGAUAAGUAAUGUGAAUUGCAGAAUUCAGUGAAUCAUCGAAUCUUUGAACGCACAUUGCGCCCGCCAGCAUUCUGGCGGGCAUGCCUGUUCGAGCGUCAUUUCAACCCUCGAGCCCCCCCGGGGGCCUCGGUCUUGGGGGACGGCACACCAGCCGCCCCCGAAAUGCAGUGGCGACCCCGCCGCAGCCUCCCCUGCGUAGUAGCACACACCUCGCACCGGAGCGCGGAGGCGGUCACGCCGUAAAACGCCCAACUUUCUUAGAGUUGACCUCGGAUCAGGUAGGAAUACCCGCUGAACUUAAGCAUAUCAAUAAGCGGAGGA
rnacentral:misc_RNA from 1 species